rnacentral:tRNA from 1 species
GGGGUUGUAGCUCAGAGGUAGAGCGCUCACUUACCAUGCUUGAGACACUGGGUUCAAUCAUCAGCACCUCG